rnacentral:lncRNA from 1 species
GCUGAGACCGUGAGGGCGCGCGCUGUCUGCGGGCCCCGCACUCUGCUCCCCGGGGAGCGGGGACCCCCGUGUCCCUUUGGCACUCCCUGGGCGUCGCCCCCCUGCCCUCGUCCUCCCCGCACUCUGCUCCCCGGGGAGCUGGGACCCCCGUGUCCCUUUGGCACUCCCCGGGCGUCGCCCCCCUGCCCUCGUCCUCUGCCUCCUUUCCCCUGUUGUCUCUGCUGCUCCCCAGCCCUCCGGCCUGGCUGCUGUUGGCCACCAUCGGGCACACGGCUGACACUUGGAGGUGGGGUGCAGUCAAGGGCCGUGAGAGCAGCUGGGGUGACGGGGUGGCUGCCCACCUGUCAGGGGGACCUGGACAGGUGCCCUCCACCCCUGCUGGUGAAGCUCUUCACCCGUGAGGUGGAGAGACGCUGUCCCUCCUCGGGGAACAGUUCCACAGGACGGAGAGACACUGUCCCCGCCACGGAGAACGGUUCCGUGGGUGAACGGCCAGGGGAGCCACCUCGGGGGCUGCUGAUCGGCCUGCAGGGCUGGCGGGAUCGGCUCGUCCCGGCUCAUGCCUCGCUGCCCACGGCCGGUGGGCUACAGAGUCAGCGUCGCCCGGGUGCCCGUGUCCUUGGUCCCGCCCCAUUGACCCGGGCCCCUGCCUACGCAGCUGGCGGGCCCUCAAGGGCACGCACCCACGUCCGGAGGUCGCCUGGUGCUCCCAGGCGGGCCAGGUGCCAGGGCCUCGGGCUGCCCUGGGUGCUGCUGAGGGCUCCUGCUGGAGCCUUGUGGGCAGCGGUUGGGUCCUGGUGCCGUGAGGGGCCCCGACCGCCAUCCGCUCCCCGCACACAUGUCCCGAAGUGCAGGACAUGCCGCCUCUUGUCCUGCCCCCUCACCAUGGAGCCCCAUGCUGCCCUCCGGCCUCUCGCGGGUGGUCUGGGGGCUCUGGGCACUGUCCCUCCAGGGGCCUGGGGCCCAGCCUGCAGGGCAGCCGACUGGCUGGCCAAGCAGCUGGGGCAACAUCAAGGUCUGGGGGCGGAGGCCCCUCAGGCCUGGCCCAGCUGA